rnacentral:snoRNA from 2 species
UUGGGGAAAUGAUGAUAUAGAAUCAAACAUAGGCGUAAGCCCUGCUGAAUUUUAUUUAUUUGCACGUCAGUCUGAUCCCCAU